rnacentral:lncRNA from 1 species
CCUCUACAUAGCAAAGCUGCUGCUAUGCCAGCCACCACUCACCACCUGAGCCACAAGCACUGCACUGCCCAGGAAUGUCCAGCUGGGAAAAUCAGCAGCAGCAAGCUAGCUAAUUCUCCAACAGAAAGAUGAAGUAUUGAGAAAUGGAUGAAUUGACGCAGUGACCAAAAUCAAACUACUUUUGCAAAUAAUAGUUUAAUUAAUUCACUAAUAAUAAGGCUUGUGACGAUGUGCCCGGAGAUGCAUGGAAUAAGCAAGCUAGUUAAGCAGAUAGCUAUGUGACCUGUUAGCAAAGAUUACGAUAACUUACCCUUUCAUAUGUGGUGUUAGCUAGCUAGCUAUAUUAGCUACUAUGCUAGCUAGCUGGCUAGAUAAACAUGGUGUUAAGAUAUCAGAUAGGAGCUAAUAGCCAACGUAGUUAGCUAACGUUACCUGGUUAUCAUUUUGAACAUGCACCAUGUUUAGCAAUACUAUAUGAUAUGAGCGAUGGAGACAGAUGUGAGGAGAUGUGAAAGGGAGCGUAGUUAAAGCCUUGCUCUAUCCAAUCGUAGCAGUAGGAUGAAGUCAGUUAUUAGUUAUUAGGCUAUUAUUAGUUAUUAGGCCAUUAGAGUUAUUAGGCUAUUAGAGUUAUUAGGCUAUUAUAGCUAUUAGAGUUAUUAGGCUAUUAGAGUUAUUAGGCUAUUAUUAGUUAUUAGGCUAUUAUUAGUUAUUAGGCUAUUAGAGUUAUUAGGCUAUUAUUAUUAUUAGGCUAUUAUUAGUUAUUAGGCUAUUAGAGCUAUUAGAGUUAUUAGGCUAUUAGAUUUAUUAGGCUAUUAUUAGUUAUUAGGCUAUUAUUAGUUAUUAGGCUAUAUUAGUUAUUAGGCUAUUACAUUUAUUAGGAUAUUAUUCGUUAUUAGGCUAUAUUAGUUAUUAGGCUAUUACAUUUAUUAGGAUAUUAUUCGUUAUUAGGCUAUUAGAGUUAUUAGGCUAUUAUUAGUUAUUAGGCUAUUAAAGUUAUUAGGCUAUUAGAGUUAUUAGGCUAUUAGAUUUAUUAGGCUAUUAUUAGUUAUUAGGCUAUUAUUAGUUAUUAGGCUAUAUUAGUUAUUAGGCUAUUACAUUUAUUAGGAUAUUAUUCGUUAUUAGGCUAUUACAUUUAUUAGGAUAUUAUUCGUUAUUAGGCUAUAUUACUUAUUAGGCUAUUACAUUUAUUAGGAUAUUAUUCGUUAUUAGGCUAUUACAUUUAUUAGGUUAUUAUUAGUUAUUAUUUAUUAGGCUAUUAUUAGUUAUUAGGCUAUUAUUAGUUAUUAGGCUAUUAUUAGUUAUUAGGCUAUUAUUAGUUAUUAGGCUAUUAUUAGUUAUUAGGCUAUUAUUAGUUAUUAGGCUAUUAUUAGUUAUUAGGCUAUUAUUAGUUAUUGGGUUAUUAGGUAUUGGGCUAUUAUUAGUUAUUGGGCUAGUAUUAGUUAUUAGGCUAUUAGAUUUAUUAGGCUAUUAUUAGUUAUUGGGUUAUUAGAGUUAUUGGUUAUUAGGCUGUUAUUAGUUAUUAGGCUAUUAUUAGUUAUUAGGCUAUUAGUUGGACUGGGCGAUAUGACCAAAAUUUCAUAUCACAAUAUUUGAAAACAUUUUGAUGGUAUAUACAGUAUUUGACAGAAUUGAGUGUUUUUGAAUAAUACAGGUUUUAAAUGUGCUUUAUGAGUUGACCCUUGGGUGGCAUCACAUACAUUCUGGGAUUUCAAUGGUUCUUUCUCCAUUCUGGUUGUUUUCUACUAUUAUGGGCCCAGGUCAACAGUAGUGCACUACAUGGGGAAUAGAGGGACAUUUGGAAUGCAGCCUUAGUUAGGACAGACAUGAGGCUCUGCUGCUGACUCCUAACCCAGUUGGCGUGGCUGGCAGCUAGCUAGUCAACAUCUCCUGGGACACUCCUCUCCUCCUCCCUCCUCUCCUCUCCUCCUGAUAAGAACACGUCUGAGACCUUGGGAAGUCCAGAGGGAGAAGCAUGUUGACAAAACAGGGAGAGAGAUAUGCUUUCCUCUCCACCUCUCCUCCCCUGGCCUCUCCUCUGCCUCUCUUACUCUCCUCCCCUGGCCUCUCCUCUACCUCUCCACCUCUCCUCCCC